AAAAAUCAGGCCCAAUCAGAUGAAUGAACUGCAGAUUCUUACCAGGGACAUGAGAGGAGUCAGCAAGUGAAACAGAAGAGCAGGAGGAAUGUUUCUCCCCGUCCUGCCCUGUGCAGAAUCACUGGGAACAGAUCCAUCACUGAUGUCGUGACGGCUUCCACUGCAACAAACUUCAAAGGGACAGUCAUAUAGUUAUGGAAGAAUAUGAGACAAAAUAAUUAUGAUGAAGAAACAAACAGCCCACAACUGAGGGAGAGACAUCAUGACUACUGCCUGGGGAUAAUCUAUGAGCACUAGUCCUGGACCUGUCAGAGACAGUGUGGGAUUGGAUGUUGGAUGCAUGUUUAAUGGCGGAUUGGCAGACCAACAUAAAUGGUGCAUUUCCACCACCUACUGAUCUGGAGUGUGGAGUGUACUUGGCUUUGGAAGAAUUUUUUUAUUUUUUAUUCUAUUUACUAUUCCUGUUUUAUUUAGAUAUUUAAAUAAUAAUUCAUGAAUUCUUGAUUGUCUUGUCCCAUUUCCUAGUAAUACUUUUAUUGAAAUUGUAUUAACUCCCAUCCUUCCUAACUCUU